rnacentral:rRNA from 1 species
GCGGCCGCGGGAUUCGAUUGUAGUCAUAUGCUUGUCUCAAAGAUUAAGCCAUGCAUGUCUAAGUAUAAGCAAUUAUACAGCGAAACUGCGAAUGGCUCAUUAUAUAAGUUAUCGUUUAUUUGAUAGUACCUUACUACUUGGAUAACCGUGGUAAUUCUAGAGCUAAUACAUGCUAAAAAUCCCGACCUCGGAAGGGAUGUGUUUAUUAGAUUAAAAACCAAUGCCCUCCGGGGCUCCUUGGUGAUUCAUGAUAACUAUUCGAAUCGCAUGGCCUUGCGCCGGCGAUGGUUCAUUCAAAUUUCUUCCCUAUCAACUUUCGAUGUUUGGGUAUUGGCCAAACAUGGUUGCAACGGGUAACGGAGGGUUAGGGCUCGACCCCGGAGAAGGAGCCUGAGAAACGGCUACUACAUCCAAGGAAGGCAGCAGGCGCGCAAAUUACCCAAUCCCGACACGGGGAGGUAGUGACAAUAAAUACUGAUACAGGGCUCUUUCGGGUCUUGUAAUUGGAAUGAGUACAAUUUAAAUCCCUUAACGAGGAACAAUUGGAGGGCAAGUCUGGU